CAGCCGCCGCGGUAAUACGAAGGGGGCUAGCGUUGCUCGGAAUGACUGGGCGUAAAGGGCGCGUAGGCGGCUGACACAGUCAGAUGUGAAAUUCCUGGGCUCAACCUGGGGACUGCAUUUGAGACGUGUUGGCUUGAGUGGAGAAGAGGGUUGUGGAAUUUCCAGUGUAAAGGUGAAAUUCGUAGAUAUUGGAAAGAACACCGGUGGCGAAGGCGGCGACCUGGUCUUUAACUGACGCUGAGGCGCGAAAGCGUGGGGAGCAAACAGGAUUAGAUACCCCUGUAGUCCCUGUCUCUUAUAC
rnacentral:rRNA from 1 species